CCCCCAAGAGUCCACAUCGACGGGGAGGUUUGGCACCUCGAUGUCGGCUCAUCACAUCCUGGGGCUGUAGUAGGUCCCAAGGGUUGGGCUGUUCGCCCAUUAAAGUGGUACGCGAGCUGGGUUCAGAACGUCGUGAGACAGUUCGGUCCCUAUCCGUCGCAGGCGUAGGAAAUUUGAGAAGACCUGUCCUUAGUACGAGAGGACCGGGAUGGACGUACCUCUGGUGUACCAGUUGUCCUGCCAAGGGCAUGGCUGGGUAGCUAUGUACGGAAUGGAUAAGCGCUGAAAGCAUCUAAGCGCGAAGCCAACUUCAAGAUAAGAUUUCCCACCGCAAGGGUAAGACCCCAGAAAGACUAUCUGGUUGAUAGGUCGAAGGUGUAAGUGCAGCAAUGUAUUUAGCUUAUCGAUACUAAUAGGUCGAGGACUUGACCAAU
rnacentral:rRNA from 1 species